rnacentral:rRNA from 1 species
AUGCCAUUGCCGUCUCCGGCAGCAAGCACCCCACGCAUUACAUUUACAUUACCACACCAACAGCGCAAACAAGAGAAGCGCAGGAAGAACCAGACAGAAGCUAGCGCUAGCAGCAGCACACACGCGACGACCAAGAGACAUACAGGGGCGUACGGCGGGGAAAUGGGCCUGUGUGUCUCAUACGACGCUGCGCCCGACGGCCCGGCGACAGCCAGGGUGGUUCUCCCCAGCGGCGAGCUCCGGGAGUACUCGCCGCCCGCAACGGCGGCGCUCGCGUUGGAGGAGGUCGGCGAGAAGGGGUGGUUCCUGUGCGACGCCGACAGGAUGGGGUUCGAGGGCUCCGUCGCGGCGGUGGCCGGCGGCGAGGAACUCCAGCCGGGGCAGAUCUACUUCGUGCUCCCGAGCGAGAUGCUGCGCCGCCGCCUCGCCCCCGAGGAGGUGGCCUCGCUCGCCGUCAAGGCCAGCGCCGCCCUCGUCAGGGCCUCCACCGUGUCGUCAGCCGGCGGCCGGCGCCGGCGGGGCUCCGUGGCGCCGCUCGUGUUCGCGCCGUCCGACGAGGACUACUCGGCCGAGGAUGCCUUCACCUUGGCGACGUUCGCUGCGAAGCCGACGGUGGCGCAGAAGCGGAGGGUGGCGUACCGAGGCGGCAGGUCGCCGCCGAGGUUCUCGCCCGACUUAACCGCCAUCUCCGAGAGCGAGUAG